ACACAUCGGACACACAGGUUGACUGGAUACAGUUUCACUUGGAGAUUAAGUAUGUAAGACAGUGAACAGCGAGCAUUCUCACACCACAUAAUGAUUAACAACAGAACUGUCUCUUAGCUGCAGCAUAGACUAACAGAACCUUCACAGGUUUAUUGGAAUAAAGUUAAACCCUGCAUGAUAUUUUAGCAGCAUUUACACAAUUAGUUUCAGUUGACAGUGUUUUAUUUUGACAUUCCAUUUUGUAUAAUCAUAGCUAUCCAUAAGUUUCUCUCUAAUGUAAUUUGAGCUUUCUAUCUGUCUAAAGAAAACAAACUGAUCUUUAAUAUUUUGUUCACCUGAAGUUUAAUUUUGAGUAGAUUAAAUGGACCAAGAUACUUGAGUUACCAAAGGGCUAUUAUCAAUGUUUAUCCUAGAAUUUUAAAGGUGAAUAGGGGGAAGAUUACUUUUGUUUGGAAUGCAUUUCUCCCAUAUUAUCCAGAAGAUAUUGCUAACAGUAGUAACUUGAUUAGGCAGUAAGUAGUCUUAUGUUAAAGUACAUCUUUUGUUUCCAUAAAAAAAAAAUGAUUUCUAGGUGACUUUAAAAUUAAUGCAUUUACUAAGAAACUAUUUUGUUUUUAAUUAUACUUAUCAAAGUGAUCCAAAUGAAAAGACAUUUUUGAACUAUGUACAGUACUCCAGGAAGAGGUCAAAUUGAGUCAGAAGACCAUAAGUACCACUUUGAGCGCUCUGGAGAUGAACCCACACACAGUACACUGAGUAGAUUAUCUGAGCUAUAAAUAUAUUUUUUAGUUUCAAUAGCUCUGUUUUGAAAUACUUUUUUAAUGCAGAUAAAAAUAUCAGGAAAUUAACCUUAUAUGGCACAAACCAAAUACAAAGUAGUAUAUGGAUGAGUUUCUACAUUUAAAGAACUAAGAAGAUAGGUUCAGGAUUGUAUUAUAGUACAUGCACUUACAAGACAGAUGCACACGCAUGCUGACUACUUUCAAGGAUGUGUGUGUUGAUUUAUCACAACAAUAAAUUAAAAAGUAAGAUACAAUGUUACAUUUUUAGACCAUAUUGAAACAGCAAGAAGAAACAGGUCUUAAAAAGUUAUUAAGAAAACUACUAAAUCCCACCAUGGGAUAUUUAGAUGUCUAAACAUAGCUCAAUUUUUAAAAAAGCAACAGACCUAAAGGGUUAAUAUUGUAACUGACACAUUUCAAAUUAAAAUUAUGUUUAUUUUGUACAGAAAGCAAUGUUAAACACAAGCAGAUCUGUUGUAUGUAAUAAGUGACAGAGUUUUUAAAAUUAUUUAGCUUUAUUGAUGUUCUUGUUUUAUUUCUCUAAACCUGGAGUAUCAUGUCAUAAACGGCAGUCUUGCACCACAGUAGCAGGCCCUUUCUUUUUGUACAUAUUGAUUGGACCUUUCUUUACUGUUACGUGGACACUUUCUAUGUUAGUUUUGAUGCAUAAUUCUUGGAAUCCUUUUAUACAGACUAGAAUGUAUGUGUAAGAAUUCCUGUCCCUGCAAUGUAGUACCUAUAAACUUAUUUUUAAAUAAAUAGAAAACUUGUUUUUCUAAG
rnacentral:lncRNA from 1 species